CUUUGUCAUAAUUGCAGUUUCUUCUUUAGGUGAUCUCAAGAUCAGCUCCUCAAGCCCGACAAAAUUCUGUUAUUGAUUCAAGUUGAGAUUGUAGUAAAUGUAUGAGUUAAUCUGGAGAGAAUGUCUAUCUUUCUAAGACUGGGCCUUCUUAUUCUGGAACAUACCAUGUCUCUUCAUUGAUUCAGUGUUUGUCUGCACGGAGGCAUGCGUGAAUACAUUCAUUCAGCACUCCCCGAGCACCUACUAUGUGUCAAACACUAUGCUAAACCCUGGUGGACGCAGGGAUGAACAAGAGAAACCGGAAGAUGAAUGAAAAAAUGAAGGAAAGCUGUGGCACUCCUCCCCACCCUCUCCCCUUCCCCACCCCUGGCUGGAAGACGCUCCUGUCCAAAUGGGAAAUUGAAGCUAAAAUAGCACAAUAAAGGAAAGGAAGCAGAUGGGCUCCCACUCGCUGUCCUGAGGAAUGUGCUGACUAUUCAGGAACAGGACUUUGGCAGUCACUUAACACAAUCACGAAGCAAAAGGAAAUGAUCAAGUCUGUCAUCAGGGUCAGUGCCAAUUUAUUUAAGAAAGUGGCAAGGCUGAAGAGGAGGAUGUGGGGACCGGGAGGCCCCAUACAUUCCUGGAGCUAGUUCACAAAACCCCCCGGGAGCGGCAGUGCCAGGUGAAUGUGGCUGGAGAAGCAUCUCCCCGCCCCAUUUCCUGCUUUCCAACAUCCCCAAGUGAGCAGCCUUGACCAGAGGCUGGGACUGGGGACUUUGAGCCAGGCACGAUAAGAGGAUUGGUGGCCUGCAUGGGUGUGUGUGGGGAGUCCCGUUGGGGCCCCAGUGCUUCCUUUAUUCGAUUUGGCAAACUCGUAGCAAGUGCCUUCUCUGCCUGGUAGUGGGCUAGGAGCCAUGGGGGAUGCUGGGAAGAAUGGUGCAGGUAAGGUCGUUGGCCUGGAAGAACUCAGAGAGGAUAGAACCACAGAGGGGUCAGGGACCAAACUGUUACCUCUUUGCUAGGGAGUUUCCAUGGAAAAAAGAGAACGUCUGGAAAGGAUAAUGCUUAACAUGAAAUAACCUCUAUUGGUGGAAUUAGUGCGGGGGUGUUAUUUCCUGGGGGGUAAAGGGACCUGACAGACUGUAAAUUCAUUAAAGGAAAAGCUUCUGCCUCUGUCUAUCCCUUGACCAGUCACUAGCUGGCUUUACACUUAAAGAGACUUCUAGGCAGGGCAUUUGGAAUUAGAUCCCACCAGCUCUGACUGAGAACUCUGUGCCAGGCACAAUGCCACGUGCUCUCCCACGCUUGAAUAUCAUAGAAAUAUGUCUGAGGUAGAUUAACGUAAAUAUUGAGUGAUUUGGCAUGAAUCAUAGAAAGGCCUGUAGCUGUAAUAUGGCCCAGUGGUCCUCACAGUGUGGUCUCUGGACAAGUGACAUCAACAUCACCUGGGAACUUGUUAGAAAUGCAGAUUCUCAGCCCCAUCCCAUAUGCACAAAAUCAGAAACCCCGGGGGGUGGGCCCAACAAUCUGGCCCUCCAGGGGAUGCUGGUGCAGGCUCAAGACAGGACCACUGCCCUAACCCGGUGAUCUUUAAAACCCUUUAAGAUGGAAUCAGAGAGGGAGGCGACCCAUAAGAGAUCCUUAACUCUAAGAAAC